AUGGCCAUGCCACCCUGAAGGCACCUGGUCUCGUCUGAUCUUGGAAGCUAAGCAGGGUCAGGCCUGGUAGUACUUGGAUGGGAGACAGUUGUUCUCAGGAUUGAACCCAUU
rnacentral:rRNA from 1 species